AGAGUUUGAUCCUGGCUCAGAAUGAACGCUGGCGGCGUGCUUAACACAUGCAAGUCGCACGAGAACGCUUUAGCUUGCUAAAGCAAGUAAAGUGGCGCACGGGUGAGUAACGCGUGGGCAAUCUACCUCCGAAUCGGGGAUAACAUUGCGAAAGCGAUGCUAAUACCGGAUGACAUCCUGAAGGCUUUGGUUUUAAGGAUCAAAGGUGGCCUCUACAAGUAAGCUACUGUUUGGAGAUGAGCCCGCGUACCAUUAGCUUGUUGGUAGGGUAACGGCCUACCAAGGCGACGAUGGUUAGCUGGUCUGAGAGGAUGAUCAGCCACACUGGAACUGACACACGGUCCAGACUCCUACGGGAGGCAGCAGUGAGGAAUUUUGCGCAAUGGGGGAAACCCUGACGCAGCAACGCCGCGUGAGUGAUGAAGGCUUUCGGGUCGUAAAGCUCUGUCAAGUGGGAAGAAACCACGAGGUGAUAAUAUCGCUUUGUGCUGACGGUACCACUGAAGGAAGCACCGGCUAACUCCGUGCCAGCAGCCGCGGUAAUACGGGGGGUGCAAGCGUUAUUCGGAAUCAUUGGGCGUAAAGGGCGCGUAGGCGGUUUGUUAAGUCAGAUGUGAAAGCCCGGGGCUCAACCCCGGAAGUGCAUUUGAUACUGGCGGACUUGAGUAUGGGAGAGGGAAGUGGAAUUCCUGGUGUAGAGGUGAAAUUCGUAGAUAUCAGGAGGAACACCGGUGGCGGAGGCGACUUCCUGGACCAAUACUGACGCUGAGGCGCGAAGGCGUGGGUAGCAAACAGGAUUAGAUACCCUGGUAGUCCACGCAGUAAACGGUGAUCACUAGGUGUAGCGGGUAUUGACCCCUGCUGUGCCGCAGUUAACGCAUUAAGUGAUCCGCCUGGGGAGUACGGCCGCAAGGUUAAAACUCAAAGGAAUUGACGGGGGCCCGCACAAGCGGUGGAGCAUGUGGUUUAAUUCGACGCAACGCGAAGAACCUUACCUGGGUUUGACAUCUCGGGGAUUUUUUGGAAACAAGAAAGUGCCCUUCGGGGAGCCCGAAGACAGGUGCUGCAUGGCUGUCGUCAGCUCGUGUCGUGAGAUGUUGGGUUAAGUCCCGCAACGAGCGCAACCCUUAUCUUUAGUUACCAUCACUUCGGGUGGGGACUCUAAAGAUACUGCCCCGGUCAACGGGGAGGAAGGUGGGGAUGACGUCAAGUCCUCAUGGCC
rnacentral:rRNA from 1 species